ACAGGCCAUGCCUAGCACGGUCUAUCUCGUGCCGGGCCAGGCCAUGUCAUGGGCAGCCCGACCUGUUACCCAUCUCUACUUGUAGAGAUAAAGCCUCAUCGUUCUCAAACUCCACCUCAGAACAAUCGGCUUAGGUUCCCUACAGCACCACACCGAUCUCGGACUCCCCCACGGAGGUUUCAUUAUUUCACUCGACUGAACACCCCUCGAGCCCACAUUCUUAUAAAAAUAGAGCGGCAAGAAGAGCUCCCCUAGUUAAAGAGGAUGCUCGCCCCAACACAGGCAAGGAAUCCGAAGAAGUAUUGCAGAUACCACAGGGAUCAUGAGCACGAUACAGAGGAAUGCUGGCAGCGCAUGGAAGAGAUAGAAGCACUCAUUCAAUGUGGACACCUUCAUCGG
rnacentral:lncRNA from 1 species